rnacentral:rRNA from 1 species
UACGUAGGUGACCAGCGUUGUCCGGAUUUACUGGGCGUAAAGAGCGCGCAGGCGGUCGUUCAAGUCGAGUGUGAAAGCCCCCGGCUCAACUGGGGAGGGUCACUCGAUACUGAUCGACUUGAAGGCAGGAGAGGGAAGCGGAAUUCCCGGUGUAGUGGUGAAAUGCGUAGAUAUCGGGAGGAACACCAGUGGCGAAGGCGGCUUCCUGGCCUGUUCUUGACGCUGAGGCGCGAAAGCCAGGGGAGCGAACGGG